rnacentral:rRNA from 1 species
GAGCCAAUGUCCGAGUACCAAGCGCUACGGUGCUGAAGUAACUCAUGCCACACUCCCAAGAAAAGCUCGAACGACCUUAAGCAAGUGGGUACCUGUACCCGAAACCGACACAGGUAGGUAGGUAGAGAAUACCUAGGGGCGCGAGACAACUCUCUCUAAGGAACUCGGCAAAAUAGCCCCGUAACUUCGGGAGAAGGGGUGCCUUCUAAGAAGGUCGCAGUGACCAGGCCCAGGCGACUGUUUACCAAAAACACAGGUC